AGUGAACGCUGGCGGUAGGCCUAACACAUGCAAGUCGAACGGCAGCACAGGAGAGCUUGCUCUCUGGGUGGCGAGUGGCGGACGGGUGAGGAAUACAUCGGAAUCUGCCCAGUCGUGGGGGAUAACGUAGGGAAACUUACGCUAAUACCGCAUACGACCUUCGGGUGAAAGAGGGGGAUCGCAAGACCUCUCGCGAUUGGAUGAGCCGAUGUCGGAUUAGCUAGUUGGCGGGGUAAUGGCCCACCAAGGCGACGAUCCGUAGCUGGUCUGAGAGGAUGAUAAGCCACACUGGAACUGAGACACGGUACAGACUCAUACGGGAGGCAGCAGUGGGGAAUAUUGGACAAUGGGCGCAAGCCUGAUCCAGCCAUACCGCGUGGGUGAAGAAGGCCUUCGGGUUGUAAAGCCCUUUUGUUGGGAAAGAAAUCUUUCAGGCUAAUACCCUGGGAGGAUGACGGUACCCAAAGAAUAAGCACCGGCUAACUUCGUG
rnacentral:rRNA from 1 species